rnacentral:rRNA from 1 species
GUAAACUUAAGGAAGUUGACGGGGGCCCGCACAAGCGGUGGAGUAUGUGGCUCAAUUCGAUGCAACGCGAAGAACCUUACCUGGCCUUGACAUGCAGGAGACAGGUGCUGAAAGGCACCCUUCCUUCGGGACUGCUGCACAGGUGCUGCAUGGCUGUCGUCAGCUCGUGUCGUGAGAUGUUGCGUUAAGUCGCGCAACGAGCGCAACCCCUGUCCUUAGUUGCCAUCAUUAAGUUGGGCACUCUAGGGAGACAAACCCUCUUUGAGGGUGGGAAGGUGGGGAUGACGUCAAGUCAGGAUGGCCCUUACGGCCAGGGCUGCACACGUACUACAAUGCCCGGUACAGAGGGAAGCAAUACCGCGAGGUGGAGCAAAUCCUCAAAACCGGGCCCAGUUCAGAUUGUAGUCUGCAACUCGACUACAUGAAGUUGGAAUCGCUAGUAAUGGCGCAUCAGCUACGGCGCCGUGAAUACGUUCCCGGGCCUU